rnacentral:rRNA from 1 species
UGGGGAAUAUUGGACAAUGGGGGCAACCCUGAUCCAGCCAUGCCGCGUGUGUGAAGAAGGCCUUUUGGUUGUAAAGCACUUUAAGCAGGGAGGAGAGGCUAAUGGUUAAUACCCAUUAGAUUAGACGUUACCUGCAGAAUAAGCACCGGCUAACUCUGUGCCAGCAGCCGCGGUAAUACAGAGGGUGCGAGCGUUAAUCGGAAUUACUGGGCGUAAAGCGAGUGUAGGUGGCUCAUUAAGUCACAUGUGAAAUCCCCGGGCUUAACCUGGGAACUGCAUGUGAUACUGGUGGUGCUAGAAUAUGUGAGAGGGAAGUAGAAUUCCCAGGUGUAGCGGUGAAAUGCGUAGAGAUCUGGAGGAAUACCGAUGGCGAAGGCAGCUUCCUGGCAUAAUAUUGACACUGAGAUUCGAAAGCGUGGGUAGCAAAACAGGAUUAGAUACCCUGGUAGUCCACGCCGUAAACGAUGUCUACUAGCCGUUGGGGUCCUUGAGACUUUAGUGGCGCAGUUAACGCGAUAAGUAGACCGCCUGGGGAG